AGAGUUUGAUCAUGGCUCAGAUUGAACGCUGGCGGCAGGCCUAACACAUGCAAGUCGAACGGUAACAGGAAGAAGCUUGCUUCUUUGCUGACGAGUGGCGGACGGGUGAGUAAUGUCUGGGAAACUGCCUGAUGGAGGGGGAUAACUACUGGAAACGGUAGCUAAUACCGCAUAACGUCGCAAGACCAAAGAGGGGGACCUUCGGGCCUCUUGCCAUCGGAUGUGCCCAGAUGGGAUUAGCUAGUAGGUGGGGUAACGGCUCACCUAGGCGACGAUCCCUAGCUGGUCUGAGAGGAUGACCAGCCACACUGGAACUGAGACACGGUCCAGACUCCUACGGGAGGCAGCAGUGGGGAAUAUUGCACAAUGGGCGCAAGCCUGAUGCAGCCAUGCCGCGUGUAUGAAGAAGGCCUUCGGGUUGUAAGUACUUUACAGCGGGGAGGAAGGGAGUAAAGUUAAAUACCUUUGCUCAAUUGACGUUACCCGACAGAAGAAGACACCGGACUAACUCCGUGCCAAGACAGCCGCGGUAAUACGGAGGGUGCGAAGCGUUAAUCGGAAUUACUGGGCGUAAAGCGCACGCAGGCGGUUUGGUUAAGUCAGAUGUGAAAUCCCCGGGCUCAACCUGGGAACUGCAUCUGAUACUGGCAAGCUUGAGUCUCGUAGAGGGGGGUAGAAUUCCAGGUGUAGCGGUAAAAUGCGUAGAGAUCUGGAGGAAUACCGGUGGCGAAGGCGGCCCCCUGGACGAAGACUGACGCUCAGGUGCGAAAGCGUGGGGAGCAAACAGGAUUAGAUACCCUGGUAGUCCACGCCGUAAACGAUGUCGACUUGGAGGUUGUGCCCUUGAGGCGUGGCUUCCGGAGCUAACGCGUUAAGUCGACCGCCUGGGGAGUACGGCCGCAAGGUUAAAACUCAAAUGAAUUGACGGGGGCCCGCACAAGCGGUGGAGCAUGUGGUUUAAUUCGAUGCAACGCGAAGAACCUUACCUGGUCUUGACAUCCACAGAACUUUCCAGAGAUGGAUUGGUGCCUUCGGGAACUGUGAGACAGGUGCUGCAUGGCUGUCGUCAGCUCGUGUUGUGAAAUGUUGGGUUAAGUCCCGCAACGAGCGCAACCCUUAUCCUUUGUUGCCAGCGGUCCGGCCGGGAACUCAAAGGAGACUGCCAGUGAUAAACUGGAGGAAGGUGGGGAUGACGUCAAGUCAUCAUGGCCCUUACGACCAGGGCUACACACGUGCUACAAUGGCGCAUACAAAGAGAAGCGACCUCGCGAGAGCAAGCGGACCUCAUAAAGUGCGUCGUAGUCCGGAUUGGAGUCUGCAACUCGACUCCAUGAAGUCGGAAUCGCUAGUAAUCGUGGAUCAGAAUGCCACGGUGAAUACGUUCCCGGGCCUUGUACACACCGCCCGUCACACCAUGGGAGUGGGUUGCAAAAGAAGUAGGUAGCUUAACCUUCGGGAGGGCGCUUACCACUUUGUGAUUCAUGACUGGGGUGAAGUCGUAACAAGGUAACCGUAGGGGAACCUGCGGUUGGAUCACCU
rnacentral:rRNA from 1 species